CCGCUGCCGAGCCGUUGCGUCGCACAGUCUCUCUCUAUCAUUCCUUGUGUCGCACGAGAUCCCGCCGCCGCCGCUGUCGUCGCAUCUACUCCCAUGGUCGUAGAGCGCUCUCUGCCUCCGCUUUCAUUGCAUCUGCUCCCUCUGGCGCCUCUUCUAUCUAAUCUCAACUCGCUCUCUCAGUUCUUCUUGUAACCAUCUCAAAUUUCAGAGUCUGCCAUGUCCACCGGCACCGACUCCGCCAAGCACGCCUCACCCGACGAUAUCAACUCCAACUCCUUCGAUCCCGAUCACUACAUGAACCUCAUGGUUCACAAGUCCAAUUUGGAAGGGCUGCUUCAGUGCCACGUCAAGCUGGCUGCUGAAAUUAAGAAUCUUGACACUGACUUGCAAAUGCUGGUUUACGAGAACUAUAACAAGUUCAUCAAUGCUACUGAUACUAUAAAGAGGAUGAAAAGUAACAUUUCCGGGAUGGAGACAAACAUGGAGUAGCAUCUUGAGAAGAUAAUGUCUGUGCAGUCAAGGAGUGACAGCGUUAACACUUCUCUUUUUGACAAAAGGGAGCACAUAGAGAAGCUGCAUCCUACUUGCAAUCUUCUCCAUAAAGUUCAGCUUAUGCAGAUGCAGUUAGGUUUUACACUGGAGCAAUGCCAAUUUUAAUGGCAUAUGGAGAUUCAUCUUUCCAGGAUUGCAAGCUAGUCUCUGAGGAAGCAAUGGCUACAAUAGUAAAAAACUUGCAGGUUUUGUUCCUUCACCUUUGCCAAGCCUUUGGACUUGGGCCAAUCAAGCAAAACAAGCCUGGGUCCAUCUUAGAUGCAUUUAUCUAUUUUGUUACUCUUGUGACUUAGUUUGAUCUUCUAUACCUCUAUAAUUUGCUUUAUUUAAGUGUUAAUUUGUGUUUCUCUGCCUCCCUUAUUAGCUUAUACAUUGGCAUAUAUAAUGCCCUUGUUGAAUUGCUAUAUGCUGUCUUAUUUAGUGACCAACUACUAUUUUACUGACCAAUAAUAUUCAAUAGGAUUAGCUGACAUUAGCUAUCCUUCCAAACAUGGCUAAGACUUAAAAGUAUAUAGAUUAUAGUUAACUUAAAAUCUCUACUGUUUUACUGGAAAGGAUAACUGAUGCUACAAUUUGACUUUUUCCCCCUCUAACCAGAGGAAGCUAUUUUCAAAUUCUGAAUCAAUACAAAAGAGAGCUGAAGCUACAGUGCUCCUUAAGCAGUUGGAAUAUCCGGUUUGUUUUGAUUUUCUUUAUAUUAAAAAUUAGCCAAAACUUAUCUCAUUUUUAGCAUUCAUUAAUUUUUAGCCAAAACUUCAAAAUAUUAUUUGCUUAUUCAUGCAGGCUAAAGAAUGUAGCUUCAAGAAUUGGCUUCUUUGUACAGAGAAAUUCUUCGAAAAGAAUUUGAUUUAUCUAAAUCAACAUGUGUGUUUACAAUUCCAAUAGAGAUUCACUAAUUAACAAACAAGAACAUGGAGUGGUGGGUGUCAAUGCCAAAGGUGGAGUUGCAUGCUCAUCUCAAUGGAUCCAUUAGAGACUCCACACUCCUAGAACUCACAAAGGCCUUAGGUGAAAAGGGUGUUAUAAAUUUCUCUCAUAUAUAUAUAUAU